rnacentral:tRNA from 2 species
GCGGGGAUAGCUCAGUUGGGAGAGCGUCAGACUGAAGAUCUGAAGGUCGCGUGUUCGAUGUACGCUCACCGCA